AUUGAACGAUGGCGGCAGGCCUAACACAUGCAAGUCGGGCGGAGCGGCGGACGGGUGAGUAAUGUAUGGGGAUCUGCCUGAUGGCGGGGGAUAACUACUGGAAACGGUAGCUAAUACCGCAUACUAUCAGAUGAGCCUAGGUCGGAUUAUCGAGUUGGUGGGGUAAAGGACUACCAAGGCGACGAUCCGUAACUGGUCUGAGAUUAUGAUCAGUCACACUUGAGCUGAGAAACGGUCCAGACUCCUAAGGGAGGCAGCAGUGGGGAAUAUUGGACAAUGUGCGAAAGCCUGAUCCAGCCAUGCCGCGUGUGUUAAGAAGUUCUUCGGAUUGUAAAGCACUUUAAGUUGGGAGGCGUUACCAACAGAAUAAGCACCGGCUAACUUCGUGCCAGCAGCCGCGGUAAUUC
rnacentral:rRNA from 1 species